GGAGGGGGGGCGGGGCCGGACGCGAGCGCGCGGAGGCGGGGAGGGCGGGCGGCCGCCGCGGGGCAUUGUGGGUGGCUCCCUGUAGGUGUCCGGGCGCGGGGCAUUGUGGGUGGCCUCCAUUAGCCGUCCGGGCGCGGGGCAUUGUGGUGGCUCCUCUAGCCGUCGGGCGCGGGGCAUUGUGGGCGGCUCCCUGCAGCCGGCCGAGCGAGGGGCAGCAAAGAUUGCCGGAGCGAGACAAUGAGCCGUUCUCCAACCCUCUGGCCCCGGAUGGCCACGAGGUGGGACGGAUCCCCACUCCUUUCCACCAUUCGAAGCUGACAAAUGAAGACUUCCGGAAGCUUCUUGAUGACUCCCCGGGCCACUCCCACGUCGGCACACCCCUUCAAAUCUCGCCACCAUGAGUACGUAACUGGAGGGCGGCUUUCCCCGU
rnacentral:lncRNA from 1 species